rnacentral:lncRNA from 10 species
GUGCAGGGCAGGGAAGCUCCAGGCAAACAGCCCAGCAAACAGCAGCACUCAGCUAAAAGGAAGACUCACAGAACACAGUUGAAGAAGGAAAGUGGCGAUGGACCUCAUCCCAAAUUUGGCGGUGGAAACCUGGCUUCUCCUGGCUGUCAGCCUGGUGCUCCUCUAUCUAUAUGGGACCCGUACACAUGGACUUUUUAAGAGACUGGGAAUUCCAGGGCCCACACCUCUGCCUUUGUUGGGAAAUGUUUUGUCCUAUCGUCAGGGUCUCUGGAAAUUUGACACAGAGUGCUAUAAAAAGUAUGGAAAAAUGUGGGGGUGAGUAUUCUGAAAACCUCCAUUGGAUAGACCUGCUACUGUGAGGAGGUUACCCCACUGCAGGAUAGUCUCUGCCCAGGUCUUCAUGGGAUGAAGCUCUUGUCAACCUAAAUACAAACAGAGAGAGGUUCUCUGAAAGAAGAGGAUAAUUACUUGGGAGUAGAAUAUUGCAAUGGGAAUCUGCUUGCCGUUAUAAACUAUGUGCAAAUUCAGGGAGGUAAACAAGACAAAGAUGCUCCAUAGAAAAUAUGAGAAGAAUCUCAUAACUGUUUUGAGAUAAUUAUUGUUAGCUACAAAGAUCAAUAAC